GACGUAGGAUGCAAGCGUUGUCCGGAUUUAUUGGGCGUAAAGAGUUCGUAGGUGGUUUGUUAAGUCUGAUGUUAAAGACUGGGGCUCAACCUCGGGACUGCAUUGGAUACUGGCAGACUUGAGUGCGGUAGAGGCAAGUGGAAUUCCAGGUGUAGCGGUGAAAUGCGUAGAUAUCUGGAAGAACACCGGUGGCGCAAGCGACUUGCUGGGCCGUAACUGACACUGAGGAGCGAAAGCGUGGGUAGCAAACAGG
rnacentral:rRNA from 1 species